rnacentral:rRNA from 1 species
AGUGAACGCUGGCGGUAGGCCUAACACAUGCAAGUCGAACGGCAGCACAGUAAGAGCUUGCUCUUACGGGUGGCGAGUGGCGGACGGGUGAGGAAUACAUCGGAAUCUACUUUUUCGUGGGGGAUAACGUAGGGAAAUUUACGCUAAUACCGCAUACGACCUACGGGUGAAAGCAGGGGAUCUUCGGACCUUGCGCGAUUGAAUGAGCCGAUGUCGUAUUAGCUAGUUGGCGGGGUAAAGGCCCACCAAGGCGACGAUCCGUAGCUGGUCUGAGAGGAUGAGCAGCCACACUGGAACUGAGACACGGUCCAGACUCCUACGGGAGGCAGCAGUGGGGAAUAUUGGACAAUGGGCGCAAGCCUGAUCCAGCCAUACCGCGUGGGUGAAGAAGGCCUUCGGGUUGUAAAGCCCUUUUGUUGGGAAAGAAAAGCAGCAGGUUAAUACCCCGCGGUUCUGACGGUACCCAAAGAAUAAGCACCGGCUAACUUCGUG